UGGGCCUAAAUAAUUACACAAAAGACUAUAGUAGUAUACGAUAUAUUUUGUACAAGUUUUUAGGAAUUAACAACUUCAUUUAAAAUUACACAUUUGAUGUUACACGUUUAUGAACAUUUUAUCAUUCAUUUAAAAAUAUUUAUUUCUAAGGCUUAUUGCAAUAAAACGAUAAAGAAUAGAUGAUUACUCAUUCAUUUUAAUUAUUCAUUUUGCAUAGCACAACUUGUUCAUGCUUAUAGCAUAUUCAGAGCGCUAUAGUCCAAUCUCUUUUGUGGAUCAGUUUGGGGGAAGGGGGGUACCUGUGACGUUUCCGUACUGCCUUUAAUGAGAAGAAAGAAGGCCCCACAGCUUACAAAUCACUGGAUGGAAAUAGUGGUGUGAUUUAUAAACACCAACCUGGAUCUCUUCCAGACAGAACGAUCUGUUCAGCCAGGC